AUGUAUAGCGCAAGCUAGUUAUAUUUAUAAUAUAUAAUGUGGGAUAGUCCAGUAAAGUUAUAGGUAGUAAUUGAUAAUGACAUAUACUAUCUCCAGGUUUUGACCAAAUCAUGUGCCAGCAGUCGCGGCAACACAUGGAAAACUAGUGUUAUUCAUCUUUAUUUGGUUUAAAGGGUACCUAGACGAUUAAAUAAUUCCAAUUAGAAAAAUAAGGAAACUGUUUAACUAGAGUUUAAUGUAAGAAGAAAAGAACGAGUAGAGUAGAGAUAAAAUUCGUUGAUCCACUCCGUAAACUGAUAAAUGCGAAGGCGAUCUUUUAUGUAUAAACUGACGUUGAGGGACGAAGGCUACGGCAAACGAACAGGAUUAGAUACCCAAGUAAUGAGUGCAGACAAUGAUGAAUGUCAUAUGUAGGACAAUAUGUUUUAUGUAUAAAUGAAAGUGUAAGCAUUCCACCUCAAGAGUAACGUGGCAACGCAGGAACUGAAAUCAUUAGACCGUUUCUGAGACCAGUAGUGAAGUAUGUUAUUUAAUUUGAUAAUCCACAAAAAACCUUACCACAAUAUGAAUAUACAGUAUAAUAUAUGUAUAGUAUGGUAUCAAAUUUACAUAUAUAGUAUGAUACCUACGUGUACUGUAUACUAGCGUUGCACGGCUGUCUUCAGUUGAUGUAGUGAUACUAUGGUUAGCUCCAUAAAAUCAACGUAAACCCUUAUUUUAUUUAAAAUAAAAUUUUGUUCUAUUCUAUAGAAAUUUAUAACAGGGAUU
rnacentral:rRNA from 1 species